rnacentral:rRNA from 1 species
AUUGAACGCUUGCGGCAGGCCUAACACCUGCAAGUCGAGCGGAGCGGCGGACGGGUGAGUAAUGCCUAGGAAUCUGCCUGGUAGUGGGGGAUAACGUCCGGAAACAGGCGCUAGUACCGCAUCCUCUCAGAUGCACCUAGGUCGGAUGAGCUAGUUGGUGGGGUAAAGGACUACCAAGGCGACGAUCCGUAACUGGUCUGAGAGGAUGAUCAGUCACACUGGAACUGAGACACGGUCCAGACUCCGACGGGAGGCAGCAGUGGGGAAUAUUGGACAAUGGGCGAAAGCCUGAUCCAGCCAUGCCGCGUGUGUGAAGAAGGUCUUCGGAUUGUAAAGUACUUUAAGUUGGGAGGCGUUACCAACAGAAUAAGCACCGGCUAACUUCGUGCCAGCAGCCGCGGUAAUUC